rnacentral:tmRNA from 1 species
GGGGGUGACUUGGCUUCGACGCGGGUCGCGAAACUCCGGGUGCAUGCCGAGGGACAGAGUACCUCGUAAAUCCAACUGUAAAACUUAUAGUUGCCAACGACGACAACUACGCUUUAGCUGCCUAAAAACCAGCUCUAAGCCUUCCGCCCGGAUCGUGCCUGUGCGUCCGGAUCACGGGAGUCACCGACACAGGACCGCGGUGCGGGCUUGUUCAGUGUCCAAUCCGUUAAAUCCUCACUGGACUGGCUGCGAGUCUUCCCUGCCCGUCGGGUAGCCCGCAGCGAGAUUAAAGACGGUAUAAGCAUGUAGAUCUCGUAGCGUAGGGCUUGCGGACGUGGGUUCGAUUCCCACCACCUCCACCA